AGAGUUUGAUCCUGGCUCAGGAUAAACGCUGGCGGCGCACAUAAGACAUGCAAGUCGAACGGAAGUCGUUAUAAAAAGGAUUGAAGAUUUAUCUGAUUGAGAUUUUAUAACAAUGGCUUUAGUGGCGGACUGGUGAGUAACGCGUGAGCAACCUGCCUACUAGAGGGGAAUAACAGUGAGAAAUCAUUGCUAAUACCGCAUAUGCCAUGAACAUCACAUGAUGAAAAUGGAAAAAGAGUAAUCUGCUAGUAGAUGGGCUCGCGUCUGAUUAGAUAGUUGGUGGGGCAACGGCCUACCAAGUCGACGAUCAGUAGCCGGACUGAGAGGUUGAACGGCCACAUUGGGACUGAGAUACGGCCCAGACUCCUACGGGAGGCAGCAGUCGGGAAUAUUGCGCAAUGGAGGAAACUCUGACGCAGUGACGCCGCGUAUAGGAAGAAGGUUUUCGGAUUGUAAACUAUUGUCGUUAGGGAAGAUAAAAGACAGUACCUAAGGAGGAAGCUCCGGCUAACUACGUGCCAGCAGCCGCGGUAAUACGUAGGGAGCAAGCGUUAUCCGGAUUUAUUGGGUGUAAAGGGUGCGUAGACGGGACAACAAGUUAGUUGUGAAAUCCCUCGGCUUAACUGAGGAACUGCAACUAAAACUAUUGUUCUUGAGUGUUGGAGAGGAAAGUGGAAUUCCUAGUGUAGCGGUGAAAUGCGUAGAUAUUAGGAGGAACACCGGUGGCGAAGGCGACUUUCUGGACAAUAACUGACGUUGAGGCACGAAAGUGUGGGGAGCAAACAGGAUUAGAUACCCUGGUAGUCCACACCGUAAACGAUGGAUACUAGGUGUAGGAAAUGAUUUCAUUUUCUGUGCCGUCGCAAACGCAAUAAGUAUCCCACCUGGGGAGUACGGCCGCAAGGUUGAAACUCAAAGGAAUUGACGGGGGCCCGCACAAGCAGUGGAGUAU
rnacentral:rRNA from 1 species